UGUUUCACGUGGAGGUCUACUGACAUUGUCUAAAUAAUGUAGGCUAGUUUAUGUCCAUGUAUUAUAUUAGGACCCAAGGUUAAUGGGUUAUUCUGUUUACCAUGUUUUCACAGGCUGCUGUCUCAUAAUAUGGCGAAGACGAGUCACUUGAAGGCCUAACAGCUCUUAUGAGGAGCAGUCUUGCCAUAGAAGACUGAAAGAAUGAGCUGUAGAAACAACAGGGUGCCUGCUGCAGUAUGACGAGGACGCCCUGAUCAUAGAAGGUCCAGUGUCUUGGCAGGGUGAAAUGGCACUGAUAUCGUGUCCUGCAGGAUGCUGUGUCCUGCAAUCCUGUGUGCUGUGCUACAGACGCGUGUGGAGGUCAACCCGAAAUGGGCACAGUAGCGUGAAAGAGGAUCCUGGCAGGGAGACGGUAGUGUCCUGCAGGAUGGUGAUGGGCAAUCUUACAAGAGACCACAGAAAACUGAUAUAGUCUCCCAGAAGUGAGACUGAGUGCCUGUUGCAGUAUGACGAGGAAGCAGUGACCAGAGACCUUCAGUAGACCCUGCUGGCAUGAUUGGCGGCUGAAGAACAUAAUCAACAGCAAUGUUUAUAAUAUUGUACAUACCUGUAUAGUCUGCACUAAAAUGCUGUACCUGUACUAUUUUUCCUCUUACUUUCAUAUUUACUAUGAAUUGACAACUUUUACUCAAAUCCAUUUUUGUAUGUGCCCUGACUAAAACUAUCCUUAAACUUAACCUGUCA